CCUGAGGCUUUACCGACGCGACUAUUCAGUUGUAUAAAUAACACCCCUCAGCAAACCCAUAUUCUUAUGCGAUUAAUUCUGAAGGGCGUCGAAUACCUUCAUCUGCAACUGCACAACGAUUUGCAGAACCAUGAUUAAUGAUGUGAAACUGAACGUAAAGUACAAAGAAUUGUUCCAUUAAAGUUGGGAAUUUUCAGUUGUGUUAUCAAGGGAUAAAAACGUAUCCAUGGUAAGAUGCAUCCUAUAUAUCAAGUGCCAAAUAUUCUUUGUGUUCUUUGUCGAUGAUAUUCAAGGAUUGUUCAGGGAAAUCCUUACUUGGUAAGUAGAAUUGAUCUUUUUGUAUAUUUGGUUUAAUUUUUGGUAAGUAGAAUUGAUAUUUCUGUAUCUUUGGUUUAAUUUUAGUACGUGAUAUUAUUAAAGGCAGUAAAUUUUUUUUGAACAAUUUAUCAAUUUGUGUGUCCUUGCGUAGGGACGAUGCUAAUCUUCUCUGUAUAGUCUGUAUUGUUUUCGUACUUAGUUGAUUUAAGCUUACAAAACGUGAUGAAAGAAAAUGUACUAUUUAUUAGGUUUAUGUCUUCUACCUAUAAAUCAUGGAUAUCAGUGUUGUGCUUGAGAUGUUUGUGAAAAAUUCGCGUGGUUGGGUUUUCCAUCUAUGCAUUCAGAUAGGAACAACAUGGAACCGUGAACAACAUAACAUGGUUUGUUCUUGGAAAUAAAUUAUCCAUGUUUACCUAAUAUAUGGUGAGGUAUGUUCACUCCCACAGUCUCAUGUCCGUUAGUUCAACGUCUAUGGACCUUUCAGUUAAUUUGUCAACCAUUUUUAAUCAUCUUUCACAAAGUGUUCCAUUCGAGUGUUGAUGACUCGAACCUAUUAACAAUUUUCAUGUUUUCAUAUUGUUCUUUGCACAGGUCACUGGGUUGUUUUGUUGAUGUCCGUGUGAUUGAUGGAUAUGGGGUAGGCGUUGACGAUGUUAUGAUUAACUGAUUAUAAUGGAUGAUAAAGAAACAUUGAAUUCUGAUGCACAAGGCAUUUACUAGCCCCGUAGCCCGACCAGAUCUUACGGAUGGUUGGAGUAUUUCAAUCUAGAUUGUUCGAAUAACAUGGCGUUAGAGUAGAAACAUUGUCAUGCCCACUUGCUUUUGUAUAUUUUUUUUAUUCGAUUCCUCAUGACCAAAUCGCGCUUGAAUAGCUACUGAAGAUUUCAUAAGUUUUUUAUCUUAAUUUUUAAGUAACGUGGCAUGAUUAAUCUAUUUUCUUCCCUUCGUAUUGAGUGACAUACAGUUUGAAGAAAUUUUGUGUCUGUCGGGAUAUUUAAGAUGUGGGAACCAAGGAACACAUAAAUUUGCAGGCCGGUACAUUUUUAUAACAAUGGGUCAUUUGGUAAAUUUUAACAUAGACAAGACACAAGAUUACGGGAUAUAUAAGGUUUUGACUUGGAAGUUCAGAUUCGUCAUUAACCAUGCACGCGCCAGUAUAAUUCAAUUUUAUGACCCUAGCCCGUGCAUUUGCGCGGGCGUGAAAAAUCCUUGUAUAUACAUAUAGAAGAAUUUUUAUAACAAUGGGUCAUUUGGUAAAUUUUAACAUAGACAAGACACAAGAUUACGGGAUAUAUAAGGUUUUGACUUCAAAGUUCAGAUUCGUCAUUAACCAUGCACGCGCCAGUAUGAUUCAAUUUGAUGACCCUAGCCCGUGCAUUUGCGCGGGCGUGAAAAAUCCUUCUAUAUACAUAUAGAGGAAUAGAGAGGAGUUGUGGCUUCGCAGCUGCUAGAUAAGAAAAUUACAACACCGCAGCUUGUAAGAGAUCCAAAAAUCAUCGAUCAGUUCCAAAUCGGGUAUGUCAUGUGAUUUUAAUUACGAGUUGAUUCUUGGUUGAUUUUUCUUCUCCUUAUUAGAUCCAAUCAGUUUUAAAAUUUUGCGUAAAUAGUUUUUGAAUUUAGAAUGGUUCCACGUAUUUGUCACCCACACUUUUCUAUUUGGCACUCUUAUCAAAAUUUCUAAAAUAAUUCUACUUUCUAAUAAUAUGUUUUCCUAUUUACCACCUACAAAAAUCAAUUUAGAGUUAGACUAUAAUUAUCACCAUUCUAACUUGUCGUUGACUUCCUUGAAAACCCAUCAAUGAAAACAGUGCUAACAUCACUGAUCGUUUCCGAAAUAUUUAAAUAUAUACUUGAUCGUAAUCAUUGUCAAAAUGUAUAUUUACUUGAUCAUAUAUUGCCAGGUAAAAAAGUACAUAAAAACGAAGUGAAAAGUAACUUGAAAAGUAACGAAAAAAUUCAUUUGAAAAAGAAGCUUAAGCAGGCAAUGUUGAAUCGAUUAGUGGAGUUGAUUAAGAAGGAGACAAAGUUGGCCAGUGGCCACCACCAUUUUCAAUCAUGAGAUUUGCCGAAGGGACAAACUAAUACAACCAAGAUACAACCAAGCCACUCUAACACAAAAAUGAAAUUAGGGAAGAUUUUGUAUCUUUAAUCUUAUUAGGCCGAUCAACGUAAUACUCGGAAUGAACUAAACAGCGAGUGCCUAUUGAAUUGCUUUAUACUGGAACGUGUAGAACAACACUACAUACGACAGACUGCUAAUAUAGACACACACGUAAAGCAUCAUGAAAAUUGAGUCAAUGUCCUGUGAACAUCAUUUGAUUAAGGAUCAGAAAUAAAGAAUUUGAGAUAGAAAAGGAACAUUGAGAAUCACACGUUUAAAAAUUAUAAUUAGGUUUAGUUUAUCCCUUUUUUUGGUUUUGCUUCAACAUCCCCUGCUUCUUCUUUUUUUUGGAAUCUUUUUGAUGCAAAACAAAAAUUAGAAAAAAAAACUUAAACAAAAUACUAGUGAAGGUGUUGAUCGGUGGCACAGACGGUGUAGAAGAACUGUGGGAGAGAUGGACAGGAAGAAGGUGGCCACUGGCCGGUGAGAGAUUAAUUUAGGGUUUUUUUUAAGUUUAAUUAUUAGGGUGGUUUUAGUGUUGGGUGUAAACAAAAAGUCAAUAAGUAGUAUCCAGGACAUUUGAAAAAAUAAGUGAGUGGCAAAUAGGAUAAAUGAGGAUGGCAAUUAAUGAGAGUGCAAAUAGGAAAAACAUGGGUGGCAAAUAGGUGGUAGGUGGAACCUUUAGGAUUGCCCUACAAUUUACGACAUCCUACGGUGCCGGGAAUAGCCC